GAUGAAGAACGUAGCGAAAUGCGAUAAGUAAUGUGAAUCGCAGAAUUCAGUGAAUCAUCGAAUCUUUGAACGCACAUUGCGCCCUCUGGUAUUCCGGGGGGCAUGCCUGUUCGAGCGUCAUUAUAACCACUCAAGCUCUCGCUUGGUAUUGGGGUUCGCGGUUUCGCGGCCCCUAAAAUCAGUGGCGGUGCCUGUCGGCUCUACGCGUAGUAAUACUCCUCGCGAUUGAGUCCGGUAGGUCUACUUGCCAGCAACCCCUAAUUUUUUAAGGUUGACCUCGGAUCAGGUAGGGAUACCCGCUGAACUUAAGCAUAUCAAUAAGCGGAGGA
rnacentral:misc_RNA from 1 species